rnacentral:rRNA from 1 species
CCUAAGGUAGCGAAAUUCCUUGUCGGGUAAGUUCCGACCUGCACGAAUGGCGUAAUGAUGGCCAGGCUGUCUCCACCCGAGACUCAGUGAAAUUGAACUCGCUGUGAAGAUGCAGUGUACCCGCGGCAAGACGGAAAGACCCCGUGAACCUUUACUAUAGCUUGACACUGAACAUUGAGCCUUGAUGUGUAGGAUAGGUGGGAGGCUUGGAAGUGUGGACGCCAGUCUGCAUGGAGCCGACCUUGAAAUACCACCCUUUAAUGUUUGAUGUUCUAACGUUGACCCGUAAUCCGGGUUGCGGACAGUGUCUGGUGGGUAGUUUGACUGGGGCGGUCUCCUCCUAAAGAGUAACGGAGGAGCACGAAGGUUGGCUAAUCCUGGUCGGACAUCAGGAGGUUAGUGCAAUGGCAUAAGCCAGCUUGACUGCGAGCGUGACGGCGCGAGCAGGUGCGAAAGCAGGUCAUAGUGAUCCGGUGGUUCUGAAUGGAAGGGCCAUCGCUCAACGGAUAAAAGGUACUCCGGGGAUAACAGGCUGAUACCGCCCAAGAGUUCAUAUCGACGGCGGUGUUUGGCACCUCGAUGUCGGCUCAUCACAUCCUGGGGCUGAAGUAGGUCCCAAGGGUAUGGCUGUUCGCCAUUUAAAGUGGUACGCGAGCUGGGUUUAGAACGUCGUGAGACAGUUCGGUCCCUAUCUGCCGUGGGCGCUGGAGAACUGAGGGGGGCUGCUCCUAGUACGAGAGGACCGGAGUGGACGCAUCACUGGUGUUCGGGUUGUCAUGCCAAUGGCACUGCCCGGUAGCUAAAUGCGGAAGAGAUAAGUGCUGAAAGCAUCUAAGCACGAAACUUGCCCCGAGAUGAGUUCUCCCUGAGACUUUAAGUCUCCUGAAGGAACGUUGAAGACGACGACGUUGAUAGGCCGGGUGUGUAAGCGCAGCGAUGCGUUGAGCUAACCGGUACUAAUGAACCGUGAGGCUUAACCUU